AGGUUUGAGAAACGAGAAAAAUCCCCCUACACGGGCACGCACCUGAUUCAGUUCCAAGCUGUUGCGGAAGGAUAGCAUUCUGAACAUUCAUUGAUAUGUGGCUGCCAAAGCAAUCCACCUCUUACACAUCGUCCUAGAAAUUUUCUCAGAUUCUUAGUAACUUAGCCCAUGAAAAUGAACCAAUUAUGCGGUUCUACGGUUCUUGUAAAAACAGAGGGCUCACAAGUGUAAUGUUGCUUGACGUCAUAGGAUGCCACAACAACUCCAUGGUCCUCAUGUAUCCUUCUGACCUGGUCUGUAAUAUUUUUUACGUGCAAGUUAGUUUUUAUUGAACCAGCUAUAUGUAAUCAGUACACAUGGCUUAGUUGGCGUGGGGGUGGGGGACUAUGGUGUCCACUUACUCUGUAAGCACUCGGAUUUUUCUUGAGCAGCUUAACCAGCUUCAAAAC
rnacentral:lncRNA from 1 species